rnacentral:rRNA from 1 species
UGGCGACCGGCGCACGGGUGCGUAACGCGUAUGCAACCUACCCCACAACAGGGGGAUAACACUGAGAAAUUGGUACUAAUACCCCAUAACAUCAGGACCGGCAUCGGUUCUGGUUGAAAACUCCGGUGGUUAUAGAUGGGCAUGCGUUGUAUUAGCUGGUUGGUGAGGUAACGGCUCACCAAGGCAACGAUACAUAGGGGGACUGAGAGGUUAACCCCCCACAUUGGUACUGAGACACGGACCAA